rfam:Perkinsus marinus ATCC 50983 gcontig_1104296287462, whole genome shotgun sequence.
GGUUUUAUGGUGUAACGGUUAGCACUCCAGACUCUAAAUAUGGCGAUCUGGGUUCAAAUCCCGGUAAAACCU